rnacentral:rRNA from 1 species
UGCAAGUCGAACGGUAACAGGGAGCUUGCUCCGCUGACGAGUGGCGAACGGGUGAGUAAUAUAUCGGAACGUACCCUAGAGUGGGGGAUAACGUAGCGAAAGUUACGCUAAUACCGCAUACGAUCUAUGGAUGAAAGUGGGGGAUCGCAAGACCUCAUGCUCCUGGAGCGGCCGAUAUCUGAUUAGCUAGUUGGUGAGGUAAAGGCUCACCAAGGCGACGAUCAGUAGCUGGUCUGAGAGGACGACCAGCCACACUGGAACUGAGACACGGUCCAGACUCCUACGGGAGGCAGCAGUGGGGAAUUUUGGACAAUGGGGGCAACCCUGAUCCAGCAAUGCCGCGUGAGUGAAGAAGGCCUUCGGGUUGUAAAGCUCUUUUGUCAGGGAAGAAACGGGGUCGGCUAAUAUCUGACCCUAAUGACGGUACCUGAAGAAUAAGCACCGGCUAACUACGUGCCAGCAGCCGCGGUAAUACGUAGGGUGCAAGCGUUAAUCGGAAUUACUGGGCGUAAAGCGUGCGCAGGCGGUUUUGUAAGUCUGUCGUGAAAUCCCCGGGCUCAACCUGGGAAUUGCGAUGGAGACUGCAAGGCUAGAGUGUGUCAGAGGGGGGUAGAAUUCCACGUGUAGCAGUGAAAUGCGUAGAUAUGUGGAGGAACACCGAUGGCGAAGGCAGCCCCCUGGGAUACACUGACGCUCAUGCACGAAGCGUGGGAGCAACAGGAUAGAUACCU